CGAGCCAGUGGCAAAACUUAAUUAUUAAAAAAAAGGGAAGUGGGAAAUAAAUAAAAAAUUGAAUGAAAGAAUUGCUGGGAGCAUAAUUCACGUAAUUGACGCAAAUUCAAAGAUGCGUGAGUUAUAAUCCCGCUUUUUUCAUGUGAUUGAAUCACGCCCAAGCCAGAGAAUCACGUAUUUCCACUUUAAAAACAAAAUCAAAGAAAAUGAGUCAAUACCUACCCACGUCACAAAAGCCAACUAAAAAUCCCGAGCUUUACUGCUCCCACAAGGCUCGACGCGAUUGCCGACAACAUCACCGGAGAAAAAAGAAAUAGAAGAAGGAACUAACCAUAUCUUUUCAAGUAAAAAACAAAUCAG
rnacentral:misc_RNA from 1 species